rnacentral:rRNA from 1 species
AUACGAAGGGAGCGAGCGUUGUUCGGUAUCACUGGGCUUAAAGGGCGCGUAGGCGGCCAGAUGGGUCGGUUGUGAAAUCCCUGGGCUCAACCCAGGAAUGGCUUCCGAAACUAUUUGGCUUGAGGCAUUCUGGGGGCGACUGGAACUCUUGGUGGAGCGGUGAUAUGCGUAGAUAUCAAGAGGAACGCCAGUGGUGAAGACGGGUCGCUGGGAAUGUCCUGACGCUGAGGCGCGAAAGCUAGGGGAGCGAACGGGAUUAGAAACCCGAGUAGUCC